GACGAACGCUGGCGGCGUGCUUAACACAUGCAAGUCGAACGGAAAGGCCCUGCUUUUGUGGGGUGCUCGAGUGGCGAACGGGUGAGUAACAAGUGAGUAACCUGCCCUUGACUUUGGGAUAACUUCAGGAAACUGGGGCUAAUACCUGAUAGGAGCUCCUGCUGCAUGGUGGGGGUUGGAAAGUUUCGGCGGUUGGGGAUGGACUCGCGGCUUAUCAGCUUGUUGGUGGGGUAGUGGCUUACCAAGGCUUUGACGGGUAGCCGGCCUGAGAGGGUGACCGGCCACAUUGGGACUGAGAUACGGCCCAGACUCCUACGGGAGGCAGCAGUGGGGAAUAUUGCACAAUGGGCGGAAGCCUGAUGCAGCAACGCCGCGUGCGGGAUGACGGCCUUCGGGUUGUAAACCGCUUUCGCCUGUGACGAAGCGUGAGUGACGGUAAUGGGUAAAGAAGCACCGGCUAACUACGUG
rnacentral:rRNA from 1 species